ensembl:snoRNA
AUCCAAGGUUAUUGUCUCUCAAAGGGACCAACUAGUGCCACUUUCAUGAAAGUGGCAACUUGGAAGACAAUUAAGCAUGUCUUUAGUCACUUGAACCAGAGGAUGCUUAUUCAUUUUUGUUGUUUCUUUGUAAUGU